GUAAAACUUAAUACUUGGUAACAAUUAUUUCUAACUAGUGGAUUAUCGCAGCUGAUUGGUGGGCAUCAUAUGGUUCUUAUACUCCAAACUUGCAAACUUUUGCUAUAAAAGUCCUUAGCCUAACAUGUAGUUCAUCGGGUUGUGAACGAAAUUGGAGUGUAUUCGAACAUCUUCAUAGCAAGAAAAGAAAUAGAUUGGAACAACAACGUCUCAAUGAUUUAGUGUAUGUCAAAUACAAUAGAACAUUGAGAUUUAGGUAUGACAUGCGCAACACUCUUGAUCCCAUAUCUUUGCAAAAUAUUGAUGAAAGCAAUGAGUGGUUGCUUGGGAGGAUGGAUGGAGAAUCAGAUGAAGAUAAUGAGCCUGUGUUUGAUGAUGAUGAUGGCUUGACGUGAGCCACUGUUGCUAGAGCUUCUGGAGUAGAAGAAAGUAGCCAUGCAAGUAGAGCAACAAGUUCACGCUCAAAGGCACAACUGAGGAUAUCUAAAUCAUCAAUAUUAGCACGACUUCAAUUAAUAGAUGAAGAGGAAGCGGGCUCAGAUGACACAAAGGAGGAAGAUGUUGAGGGACACAAAUCAACUGAUGGAGAAGAAGAUGAUAGUUUGCUUGCCAUUGAUGUUGAGGAUGAUGAUUGACUGACCGACCUAACCUACCCUUUCCUUUGAUAUUGAUGUUUUUAAGUGUUAAGACAUAUAUUAGUAUUUGUUGGAUAUUUAUGUUUUGGAUAUUUGGUGUUUAUGUUUUUAUUUUUAUUUUUAUUUUAUUGAAUGUGGAUUAUUUUAUAUUUGAAAAUUGAAAUGUUAUGUAAUAUGCACUUUCAUGGCUUUGAAAAUUAUUCUAUAUUUUGCCUUGAAUCUUGAUUAUUUUUUAUUUUUAAAAAAAUUGUCUUAGUACUAUGAACGAUUAGUCUAUAUUAAUUUUUCUAUUUUUUACUAAAACUGUGCGCCUCACUUCAAUAAAGUCCGCGCCUCGCCUUGCGCCUUGGCCCCGAGAGACCUUCAGCGCCUUAGUGCGCCUUGAGCCUUUAAAAACACUGACCGGAAGUUUGUGGCGCAAGAGCGGGUCUUCAAGUUCUUGGAAGGCCUAAAUGUGGAGUAUGAUCCGGUUCGGAGCAAAGUACUUGGCAUGGAUGUGCUUCCUUCUCUCCAAGAAACCUUUGCUUUUGUACAGAAUGAGAAGAGUCGCCGUUCUGCGAUACUUCCUUUUGCUACUACUGAUAGCUCGGCCUUGGUUUCUGCACCCUCUCGCGAUGGCGAUCGUGUGACUCGUGGUUCUCGUCCUUCCUUUGAGAAGGAUCAUCUUUACUGUGACUAUUGUCGUCGACCUCGCCACACACGUAAGACUUGUUAGAAGCUGUAUGGAACUCCCUCUGGUGGCCGAGGCGACCGUCUUGGUACUCGAGGGGUUGGUCUGGUACUAGAGGCCACGAGGCCAAUGCACAAGCCCAUCUUUCAGACACUGUUAAGCCACCAUCUUCAUCUCCAGUUGUCUCCUCCGCUACUGAUGUCUCGGGAUUAUCUGCCUCAGAUUUUGAGAUUGUUCUUCGCCACUUGCUAGACCAUCGAGCCUCCACUUCUACUACAGGUGCACCUUCUUUUCCUUUGCUAAUUAAGGUAACUUGGCUUCCUCCCCAUGUGCAUUGCUAUCUCAUACGACUAUAACAUGGAUUAUUGAUUCUGGUGCUUCCGACCAUAUGUCUGGCUCCUCUAAUUUAUUUUCCGAGUAUAACCCCUCCUCAAGUCAGGAAAAAGUACGUAUUAUUGAGGGUACCAUUUCGUCUGUGUCAGGGAAAGGUUUAAUUCAUGCCACCUCUUCCCUUCCUUUGUCUUUUGUCCUUCAUGUUCCUAAUUUCAGCGUUAAUCUUUUAUCUUUGAAUCGUAUUACUCGUGACUUAAAUUAUAGCAUGACGUUUUUUCCUGAUCAUUGUCUUUUUCAGGACCUUAUCACGAGGAAGAGGAUUGGCAGUGGUAGAGAGGAAAAUGGGCUCUACAUUAUGGAUCAAACAGACAAGCUGGCUCAUUCAUCUAUUCAGUUAUCAUCUACCAAGGAAGACAUUUGGUUGUGGCACCGUCGCUUAGGACAUCCCUCUUUUUUAUAACUUAAGCAUUUAUUUCCUUCUGUUUUUGAGAAAAAUAAUGUGUCGAUUUUCAAUGUGAGUCUUGUCAACUUGGAAAACAACAGAGAGCCUCUUUUGCUCCUUCUAUUAAUAAAAGUUUAGUUGUAUUUUCUUUAAUUCAUUCUGAUGUAUGAGAUCCAUCCCGUUUUGUGUCUUUAACCGGUCAAAAAUGGUUUAUUACCUUCAUAGAUGAUUGUUCCAGGGCCACUUGAGUCUAUUUGAUGAAAGAUAAAAAUAAGGUAUUUUUUGUGUUUCAAAACUACCAUAAAAUAGUUUGUACUCAAUUUGGGGAGAUUGUCAAAAUUCUACGUUCUGAUAAUGGGAAGGAAUAUAUUGACUCUGGUCUUACCACUUACUUCGCCACUCAUGGCAUUAUUCACCAGAUUUCAUGCACUAAUACCCCUCAACAAAAUGGUAUUGCAGAACGCAAAAAUCACCAUCUUCUUGAUAUCGCCCGUUGUCUAUCCUUUGAGAUACGGGUUCCUUGAUCCUAUUGGGGGGAAGCAAUUCUCACUGCUGCUUAUUUGAUUAAUCGUCUUUCUACCCAAGUACUUCAAAAACAAACACAUCUUCAAGUUUUGUUCGGGUCUACCCCUUUCGAGUGCUCCAUUCCUCCUAAGACUUUUGGCUACGUUUGCUUUGUCCAUAAUCAUUCACCCACUCGUGAUAAAUUAGAUCAUAGGUCUCUUAAGUGUGUUUUUCUGAGUUAUUCUGCCACCAAAAAGGGUUAUAAGUGAUAUCAUCCUCCCACUCGCAAAUAGUUUGUCUCCAUAGAUGUCACUUUCUUUGAGUCUCAACCUUACUUUCCGACCUCCUCGGCUCACAGUCAUUCCUUCAGGAAGCGCCUUGGUGUGAAGAGAUUCUUAUUCCACUUCCGCCAGUGAUUGAACAGAUAAAGGAUGAUGAGCCAGCAGUUGUUGAGGAAAAGGAAGCAGGCAAAGUUUAUAUCAGGGACAAGGACAGACAGCAAGUCACCUGGAUGCAAGAGACUAUUUUCCUUCCUCUAUUGCCACCGGAUGAGUGUCCAGAGUCACCCCCCUCUCCUGAGAGUUCAGAUAAUUCUGAUUCUAGUGCUUAUAUUCCUGCUUUUUCAAAUCUAGAUGUUCUCAUUGCUAAUAGAAAGGGGGUUAGGUCAUGUACUCAGCAUCCUAUUACUAAUCAUGUCUCUUAUUCUCAUCUGUCUUCCUCAUAUAAAGUUUUUCUGUCUAAAGUGCCUUCUGUAAGUCUACCUACCAAUUUUCAGGAUGUUCUCUCUAUUCCUGAAUGGAAACAUGCCAUGAUGGAAGAGAUAAGAACUCUCAGCAAGAGUGGCAGUUGGGAGUUAGUGGAGUUACCUAGAGGCAAAAAUCCAGUUGGGUGUAAGUGGGUGUACACAGUAAAACACAAAGCAGAUGGUUCUAUAGAACGGUACAAAGCGAGACUGGUUGCUAAGGGUUUCACUCAAACUUCUAGGGUGGAUUACCAGAGACAUUUGCACCGGUUGCUAAGAUGAAUUCUAUGAGAAUCUUGCUCUCUCUUGCUGCAAAUUUGGAUUGGCCACUUUAUCAGUUUGAUGUGAAGAAUGCAUUCAUUUAUGGAGACCUAGCAGAAGAGGUAUAUAUGGAUAUUCCCCUAGUUUUGCGAAUGUUCAAUCUAACGGUAAAGUAUGCAGGCUCCGAAAGCCACUUUAUAAGUUAAAGCAAUCUCCUAGGGCUUGGUUUGAAAGGUUUGCUCAAGCUACGCUGAAAUAUGGGUUCAAGAAAAGUCAAGCUAAUAACACCUUGUUUGUGAAACACUCCUCACAUGGUAAGACCAUAGCUCUUAUUGUCUAUGUUGAUGAUAUUGUUCUGACAGGAGAUGAUAUUGAGGAGAUUUCUCGUUUGAAAGAAUACUUAGCCAAAGAGUUUGAAAUCAAAGACUUAGGCUAUUUGAAGUAUUUUUUGGGUAUUGAAGUAGCUCGGUCCAAGGAUGGCAUCUUCAUAUGUCAGAGGAAAUAUGUAUUUGACUUGCAAAAGGAAACUAGCAUACUUGGAAGUAGACCAUGUGAUACGCCUCUAGAACCGGGCCAGAAACUGAGUGAGAAUCAAGAGGGAGAUCCAGUGGACAGGAGGAGAUACCAGAGACUAGUGGGCAAGCUCAUAUACUUAUCCCACUCACGUCCCAACAUUGCCAUUACUGUGAGCAUGGUGAGCCAGUUUAUGCAUACUCCUAGAACUUCCCACUUGGAGGCAGUUAUGAGAAUCCUGAGAUACCUGAAGUCUUCUCUUGGAAAGGGUCUCUAUUUCUCAAAACAUGGCCAUCUCAGUGUGGAGGCAUUUACUGAUGCAGAUUGGGCUAGAUCAGUCACUGACAAACGAUCAACUUCUGAAUACUGCACAUUUGUGGGUGGCAACCUAGUCACGUGGCGAAGUAAGAAACAGAAUGUGGUGGCUAGAUCUAGUACUGCAGCAGAAUUCAGGACUAUGGCUCAGGAUGUAUGUGAGUUACUAUGGAUUAAACUACUAUUGGGAGACCUGGUAAUCCAUCAGACUGACUCCAUGCAACUAUACUGUGACAACAAGGUCGUAAUCAACAUAACUCAUAAUCCAGUUCAACAUGAUAAAACUAAGCAUAUGGAGAUUGAUACGCACUUCAUCAAAGAAAAACUCACUAGUGGCAUCAUAUGUAUUCUAUUUGUGAAGACUGGAGACCAACUAGCCGAUAUUCUCACCAAAGAGCUAGGGAGCAAACCAUUUCAUGACAUUCUCAACAAACUGAGCAAGAGAGAUAUCUUUGCACCAACUUGAGGGGGAGUGUUAGAAUAGGCAACGAGUUAGAAUAGGAAAUAUGUGAUUGUAUUUUCUUCUUAUUUAUUCCUUGAUUGGUGUAAUAAGUUGGCCCAUAUAUUAUGCCUUAUGGCACUCCUAUAAUUACUCAGUAUUAUUAAUAUAAAAGGGAAUGAGGUCUAACUCACUCUCUAACUUUUUCUCUUCUCUAAACCUUCGGAUCACAUAUGCAGGGAAAGUGGCAUUCAAGCUCAGUUCCUCAAGCUCCUAAGAAUUGCAAGUUAAGCCAA